AGCGAACGCUGGCGGCAUGCCUUACACAUGCAAGUCGAACGGCAGCACGGGUGCUUGCACCUGGUGGCGAGUGGCGAACGGGUGAGUAAUACAUCGGAACGUACCUUAUCGUGGGGGAUAACGCAGCGAAAGUUGCGCUAAUACCGCAUACGCCCUGAGGGGGAAAGCGGGGGACCGUAAGGCCUCGCGCGAUUAGAGCGGCCGCUGUCUGAUUAGCUUGUUGGUGAGGUAAAAGCUCACCAAGGCGAUGAUCAGUAGCUGGUCUGAGAGGACGAUCAGCCACACUGGGACUGGGACACGGCCCAGACUCCUACGGGAGGCAGCAGUGGGGAAUUUUGGACAAUGGGGGCAACCCUGAUCCAGCAAUGCCGCGUGAGUGAAGAAGGCCUUCGGGUUGUAAAGCUCUUUUGUCAGGGAAGAAACAGAAGCUCUAACACAGUCUGCGAAUGACGGUACCUGAAGAAUAAGCACCGGCUAACUACGUGCCAGCAGCCGCCGUAA
rnacentral:rRNA from 1 species